UACGGAGGGGGGCUAGCGUUGUUCGGAAUUACUGGGCGUAAAGCGCACGUAGGCGGCUUUGUAAGUUAGAGGUGAAAGCCCAGGGCUCAACCCUGGAAUUGCCUUUAAGACUGCAUCGCUUGAAUCAUGGAGAGGUGAGUGGAAUUCCGAGUGUAGAGGUGAAAUUCGUAGAUAUUCGGAAGAACACCAGUGGCGAAGGCGACUCACUGGACAUGUAUUGACGCUGAGGUGCGAAAGCGUGGGGAGCAAACAGG
rnacentral:rRNA from 1 species